AUUGAACGCUGGCGGCAUGCCUUACACAUGCAAGUCGAACGGCAGCACGGACUUCGGUCUGGUGGCGAGUGGCGAACGGGUGAGUAAUGCAUCGGAACGUGCCAUUGAGUGGGGGAUAACGUAGCGAAAGUUGCGCUAAUACCGCAUAUUCUGUGAGCAGGAAAGCAGGGGACCGCAAGGCCUUGCGCUCUUUGAGCGGCCGAUGUCAGAUUAGCUAGUUGGUGAGGUAAAGGCUUACCAAGGCGACGAUCUGUAGCGGGUCUGAGAGGAUGAUCCGCCACACUGGAACUGAGACACGGUCCAGACUCCUACGGAGGCAGCAGUGGGGAAUUUUGGACAAUGGGGGCAACCCUGAUCCAGCCAUGCCGCGUGAGUGAAGAAGGCCUUCGGGUU
rnacentral:rRNA from 1 species